GUCUAUGUCCACACCACUCUCAAUGCACCCGAUCUUGUUUGAUCUUGGAAGCUAAGUAGGGUUUGGCCUGGUUAGUGCUUAUAAGGGAGAACAGAGUUC
rnacentral:rRNA from 1 species